CAGCAAUGAUAAAUGGACACAAAAAUACAUACACAAAUAUGACACUAGGGACAAUUGUGUAAUUUCCAUUAAAGUCCAAUGGCACAAUUGAUAUUUCAAUGAAAAAUGAGGGGAGUUUGUUAAAAAAAAUCCUAUCUUCUUUCUCUCUAUCUGGAACAUCCCCAUCCACCGCCAUUCUCCAUCCUCCUGCCACCCAGGUUCCCACCGUCCCCUACCAUCACUAAAUAACAACCUUCGUACUUCUUCAUCCUCGGCGCCGUGGUCCUUUUCCUCGUCGCUCACCGUGUUCGUCAUCUCCAUCAUCAUCUUCGUCCUCGCCACCAUCCACAGAUCUACAAACAGUUUAGAUCCGUCUUUUCUGCCGCCUACUGUCUUCUACGACUACCAACGCCUACGGAACUAACAAACAGAUCCUCCGUUAUUAUCCCUUUCUCACCUACUGUCAUCUCUCUGUCGCCGACCGCUGCAUUUUUUUGGGUUCAAGAUCCGUGCUUCUUUCUUUGGCCGUUGUCUUUUUUGAGAGAAUAAUGACCGGAGAGGAAAACGAUGGUGAUUGCCGUUGCCGGAAAGUAAUACGGCGGUGGUGUGAGAGAGAAACAAAAAUGGAGGGAGAGAGAGAAGAGAGAGUAAGAAGAAGAUGAAAAUAAAAUAAAAUAAAAAAUAAAAAAAUACCGUAUAUUGAUACAGUGGUGUCGUAUUUGUGUUAGUUAUUGUGUGUUUGUUUAUCAUUUCUGUUUU
rnacentral:lncRNA from 1 species